UACGAAGGGGGGCUAGCGUUGUUCGGAAUUACUGGGCGUAAAGCGCGCGCAGGCGGUCUUCCAAGUCAGUGGUGAAAGCCCGGAGCUCAACUCCGGAACUGCCAUUGAAACUGUUAGACUUGAGGAUGAGAGAGGUGAGUCGGAAUUCCCAGUGUAGAGGUGAAAUUCGUAGAUAUUGGGAAGAACACCAGUGGCGAAGGCGGCUCACUGGCUCAUUACUGACGCUCAGGCGCGACAGCGUGGGGAUCAAACAGG
rnacentral:rRNA from 1 species